CCUACGGGUGGCAGCAGUGGGGGAUAUUGCACAAUGGGGGAAACCCUGAUGCAGCGACGCCGCGUGUGGGAAGACGGUCCUCUGGUUUGUAAACCACUGUCCCCAGGGGCGAAGAUGACGGUACCUGGGGAGGAAGCUCCGGCUAACAACGUGCCAGCAGCCGCGGUAAUAGGUAGGGAGGGAGCGUAGUCCGGAAUUCCGGGGUGAAAAGGGAGCGUAGGCGGGGUUGCAAGUUGGGUGUCAAAACUACCGGCUCAACUGGUCGUCGCACUAAAAACUGGAGCUAUUGAGUGAAGUAGAGGCAGGCGGAAUUCCUAGUGUAGCGGUGAAAUGCGUAGAGAUUAGGAGGAACACCA
rnacentral:rRNA from 1 species